UCUGGUUGAUCCUACCAGUGAUAUACGCUUGUCUCAAAGGUUAAGCCAUGCAUGUCUAAGUACAAACAUAAGUAAUGUGAAACCGCAUAAGGCUCAGUAUAACAGCUAUAAUUUGCAAGAUCAUCCCCCUACAGUUACUUGGAUAACUGUGGAAAAGCCAGAGCUAAUACAUGCAACAUGCCGGGACUGUUGGCCUCCGGGCUGGCGGAACUGGUGCACUUAUUAGUUAAACCAAUCGCCUCCGGGUGUUUUGAGUUGAAGUCUGGAUAAGGAUGCCGAUCGUAUGGUCUCACGACUGACGACAGAUCUUUCAAAUGUCUGCCCUAUCAACUAUUGAUGGUAGUGUAGAGGACUACCAUGGUUGCGACGGGUAACGGGGAAUCAGGGUUCGAUUCCGGAGAGGGAGCCUGAGAAAUGGCUACCACAUCCAAGGAAGGCAGCAGGCGCGUAAAUUACCCAAUCCCGGCACGGGGAGGUAGUGACGAGAAAUAACAAUAUGGACCUCUCUAACGAUGGUCCAUAAUUGGAAUGAGUUGAGCAUAAAUCCUUCAACAAGGAUCAAGUGGAGGGCAAGUCUGGUGCCAGCAGCCGCGGUAAUUCCAGCUCCACUAGCGUAUAUUAAAGUUGUUGCGGUUAAAACGUUCGAAGUUGAUUCUUGUCCAACACAGGCCGACACUGUCGACCCGGAUCAGUCCGUGGUCGGUAGGUUCGUUCGGAUUCUGGCUGCGACUCACAAUGGUGUGCCCGGGCGCGAAACCAUUAGCAUCGUGCCCUUCAACGGGUGCCUUCAAGUAUGGAGCCCGACCGUUCUCGUUUACCUUGAACAAAUUAGAGUGCUUCAAGCAGGCUCAUGAAUAUAUGGCCGAGAAUAAUCUUGCAUGGAAUAAUGGAAUAUGACCUUGGUCUACAAUUUCAUUGGUUUGUAUACAGACUCAGAGGUAAUGAUUAACAGAAGUAGUUGGGGGCAUUGGUAUUACGGCGCGAGAGGUGAAAUUCGUAGACCGUCGUAGGACCGACUGAAGCGAAAGCGUUUGCCAUGGAUGCUUUCAUUAAUCAAGAACGAAAGUUA
rnacentral:rRNA from 1 species